CUAUGAUACUACACAGGGGAAGGAGCAAACGCCCCGAAUUUCAUUUCCAAAGGCUUGGAAAAGCAUCUUUCUCCUCCAAACAAUUACUGAAAACCAUGGCUGCCAUCUGGCCCCCACUAUCUGUUGGCCAUUCUACUAUUGCUGAAACCCAUGCCUGUUUCUGUCUCAGCCCGGCUUUAUCUGCAGGCCAAGGUUCUCCCAGCGCCCAUGGUGGAAACACUGGAUCCGGGACCUCCUUAGAUGAUCUGUCUCUUGGUGAUUCAAGUCCUCUUGCUUUUGCAGUGUUCGUGUUUCCUUCUCAUACUCAAUCUUCAAUGCUACAACCAAUGACUUGGGACACACCUGCUGCUUUUCUGAGAAUCUCAGAAUGAAGCGUUGUAUGUGAUGUGGGGACUCCAACCAUACGCUUAGAAUUCUAUUUUGGACAUUUGCAUAACUGGAUGAGCUUAUCAGUCAAGAAAGGGACAUUGGGUAGGCAAUUAAUAAGGAAGCUUGCCAGGGGCUUAAUGAAAUGAGGUUCAUGACUGGUUUCAGUUUAUUGUCUGGUUCUCCCUCACCAGCCUAAUUAAAGUACAGAUUUGAGAGCUAGCAGGGAGAAUUGAAUCCUGAUUAAUUUUCAUGCUGGUAAGACCUUAAACUGAUUUCUUACCUUCUCUGGGCUUUAAAGUCUAUGGUAAUUUGGCAUGAACAGAACCCCUGCCUGAAUGCUGAGUCAUUUUCCCAAGAGAACAAAGCUUCUAGAAAGCUUGGUGGAUGGUUUUUCAUUUCCUGUAACCUGGAGUGAACUUCAGAUGCUGCCGCCAAAUUGGAGGGCUUACAGUGUCUUAGUUGGGCCAAAAGCCCAAUGAAUGCCAAGGGCCAAGGCCGUGUCUGCUUAGUGACUGUUGCCGACUGCCUCACCAGGGCUGCUGGUAUUGAAGCAAAUUCUAUUUGGAAAGAGGCCAGAUUCUUCUGUCUCCUAGUGGGGGCAGGGAGGGUGCCUAGAAUUUUAUAAUGUGUGCUUAUAUUUGUGUAAUCAGCAAAAUUUCUAAUUAAGUGAGAAUUAGUGUGUUUUACCUAGUUAAAAUUAUUGCCUUUAAAGACUGAACUAAACUGUAAAGUAUAACUUCUGAAAUUGUGUGUAGUAAUAAUAAUAUAUAGUGUUCACUAUGUGUAAACACUGUUUUAAUUGCUUAAUUUGUAUUAGUUCAUUUUAUUCUCGCAACUCUGAGAUUAGUUUUCUCUUAUUAACCUCAGUUAACAUAUCAAGAUAUUAAGGCAAG
rnacentral:lncRNA from 1 species